GAUGAACGCUGACAGCAUGCUUAACACAUCAGCAAUUGAUUGGUGGCGGACGGGUGAGUAACGCGUAAAGAACUUGCCUCACAGCUAGGGACAACAUUUGGAAACGAAUGCUACUACCUAAUACUGUGAGAGAGCUUGGCGUCCCUUUAGCUAGUUGGAGAGGUAACGGCUCACCCAGGCGAUGAUGGGUAGCCGGCCUGAGAGGGUGAUCGGCCACAAGGGGACUGGGACACGGCCCUUAGUCCUACGGGAGGCAGCAGUGGGGAAUAUUGGACAAUGGACCAAAGUCUGAUCCAGCAAUUCGGUGUGCACGAUGAAGUUUUCGGAAUGUAAAGUGCUUUCAGUUGGGAAGCGGUACAAACAGAAGAAGUGACGGCUAAAUACGUGCCAACAGCCGCGAUUAC
rnacentral:rRNA from 1 species